CCUGGUGGCUAAGAUGGUAAAGUAUCUGUUUACAAUGCAGGAGACCUGGGUUCGAUCCCUAGGUCAGGA
rnacentral:tRNA from 1 species